rnacentral:misc_RNA from 1 species
AUGAAGAACGUAGCGAAAUGCGAUAAGUAAUGCGAAUUGCAGAAUUUCCGUGAGUCAUCGAAUCUUUGAACGCACAUUGCGCCCACUGGUAUUCCGGUGGGCAUGCCUGUUCGAGCGUCAUUAUCCUCCCUCAAACCCCGGGUUUGGUGUUGGACCCAAGUUGUGUGAACAACUGGUCUCAAAGACAAUGACGGCGUCCGUGGGACCCUCGGUGCAACGAGCUUUUAGGAGCACGCAUCGAGUUGCAAGGACCUUCCGGGCCGGUCUCCUUUACCAUUUUACAAGGUUGACCUCGGAUCAGGUAGGAAUACCCGCUGAACUUAAGCAUAUCAAUAAGCGGAGGA